UGGGGAAUUUUGGACAAUGGGGGAAACCCUGAUCCAGCCACCCCGCGUGUGCGAUGAAGGCCUUCGGGUUGUAAAGCACUUUUGGCAGGAAAGAAACGUCGCGGGUUAAUACCCCGCGAAACUGACGGUACCUGCAGAAUAAGCACCGGCUAACUACGUGCCAGCAGCCGCGGUAAUACGUAGGGUGCAAGCGUUAAUCGGAAUUACUGGGCGUAAAGCGUGCGCAGGCGGUUCGGAAAGAAAGAUGUGAAAUCCCAGAGCUUAACUUUGGAACUGCAUUUUUAACUACCGGGCUAGAGUGUGUCAGAGGGAGGUGGAAUUCCGCGUGUAGCAGUGAAAUGCGUAGAUAUGCGGAGGAACACCGAUGGCGAAGGCAGCCUCCUGGGAUAACACUGACGCUCAUGCACGAAAGCGUGGGGAGCAAACAGGAUUAGAUACCCUGGUAGUCCACGCCCUAAACGAUGUCAACUAGCUGUUGGGGCCUUCGGGCCUUGGUAGCGCAGCUAACGCGUGAAGUUGACCGCCUGGGGAGUACGGUCGCAAGAUUAAAACUUAAAUGAAUUGACGGGGGUCAUAGCUG
rnacentral:rRNA from 1 species